rnacentral:rRNA from 1 species
UACGAGGGGGGCGAGCGUUGUUCGGAAUUAUUGGGCGUAAAGGGUGCGUAGGCGGUUCCGCAAGUCCUGUGUGAAAUCUUCGGGCUCAACUCGAAGUCUGCACGGGAAACUGCGGGGCUUGAGUGUGGGAGAGGUGAGUGGAAUUCCCGGUGUAGCGGUGAAAUGCGUAGAUAUCAGGAGGAACACCAAUGGCGAAGGCAGCUCGCUGGGACGGUACUGACGCUGAGACGCGAAAGCGUGGGGAGCGAACAGG